ACGAAGGGGGCGAGCGUUGUUCGGAUUUACUGGGCGUAAAGGGCGCGUAGGCGGCCCCCUCAGUCAGGCGUGAAAGCCCCGGGCUCAACCUGGGAACGGCGCUUGGGACGGUGGGGCUGGAGUUCGGGAGAGGAGAGUGGAAUUCCCAGUGUAGAGGUGAAAUUCGUAGAUAUUGGGAAGAACACCGGUGGCGAAGGCGGCUCUCUGGACCGAGACUGACGCUGAGGCGCGAAAGCGUGGGGAGCAAACAGGA
rnacentral:rRNA from 1 species